UAGUCCACGCUGUAAACGAUGAGUGCUAGAUGUCGGGUGUCAAAGCCCGGUAUCGCCGUUAACACAUUAAGCACUCCGCCUGGGGAGUACGUACGCAAGUAUGAAACUCAGAGGAAUUGACGGGGACCCGCACAAGUAGCGGAGCAUGUGGUUUAAUUCGAGGCAACGCGAAGAACCUUACCAGGGCUUGACACAACAGACUAUCUUUCUAGAGAUAGAGAGGACUCCUUCGGGAGGUCUGCUAC
rnacentral:rRNA from 1 species